rnacentral:rRNA from 1 species
GGUGAGUAACACGUAUGCAACCUGCCCCCGCCAGGGGUACAACCCUCCGAAAGGGGGGCUGAUACCGCGUACAUCCCCUGGGGGCAUCCCCGGGGGAGGAAAGCCCUUUUGGGCGGGCGGGGAUGGGCAUGCGGCGCAUUAGGAAGACGGCGGUGUGACGGACCACCGUUCCGACGAUGCGUAGGGGUUCUGAGAGGAAGGCCCCCCACACUGGUACUGAGACACGGACCAGACUCCUACGGGAGGCAGCAGUGAGGAAUAUUGGUCAAUGGCCGGAAGGCUGAACCAGCCAAGCCGCGUGAGGGAGGAAGGCGCAGAGCGUCGCAGACCUCUUUUGCCGGGGGACAAAAGGCCGGACUCGUCCGGUCCUGAGGGUACCCGGAGAAAAAGCAUCGGCUAACUCCGUGCCAGCAGCCGCGGUAAUACGGAGGAUGCGAGCGUUAUCCGGAUUCAUUGGGUUUAAAGGGUGCGCAGGCGGGCCUUUAAGCCGGCGGUGAAAUCGCGGGGCUCAACCCCGCCGAGCCGUCGGAACUGGGGGCCUUGAGUGCGGCGGAGGCAUGCGGAAUGCGCGGUGUAGCGGUGAAAUGCAUAGAUAUCGCGCAGAACCCCGAUUGCGAAGGCAGCGUGCCGUGCCGCCACUGACGCUGAGGCACGAAAGCGCGGGGAUCGAACAGGAUUAGAUACCCUGGUAGUCCGCGCCGUAAACGAU